GACGAGAGCAAGAGGGUACCGCGCCAGCCCGGAAGGGCUUCUGGAGGCCACGGCGUCAGGUAGGCGCCGAGUGUCCGCCGCACCCGGCAGACAGUGGCCCCUGGCGGCCGGAGGAGUCACCGCGGGGCUGCGGGAGCCAAGGGCCCUUCAGAGCCGCCUUCAGGGGCCGGGCCAGCCCCGCCAGGGACCAUGGCAACCGCGGCAGUCGGGCAUCAUGGCAGAGACUGUCCAGUUUGACCAAUGUACAUGGCAGAGGGGCAUUGCUGGCACAUGGGGAGAGCAAGGAGACAUCAGUCAGAGAGAACCAUGCUGCUUGAAGACUCUAACGCUCUCUUCACAUCAGUUCUCAGAGAAGAGUUCACCCCACCCUCCUCCCUGAGGAUCGCCUGGCUUUGCCCACUCCCAGAUAUGACCUGGCCCCUUGUGACCAGCAAAUUCAUCACAUUUGUGAUCCAAGCAAACUGGGAAGCCUGGUCGCCUCCAGAGAAGAGAGUCAAGUGCAUGCUGUCACGUUGCCACCUGGUCCUUCAGUGAGGCAGUGAAAAUCGUCACAGGUUCAGAACGUUGGCCAGAAGCAAGUGAAGUGCCAGCAGGCUCUGAGCAACUUCCCACUCCUUCUGCAGCUCUGACAGUGCUCCUCAACCUGAUCUGCAGCACCUUUGCUCUUUCAGUACUGGGCUUUCCUACCCAAUUCUGCGGCUGCAUCUGAAUCCCAACCUCUGGUGCAUCUAACUGUUCCGGUCCAUCAGCCACUCCAGAGUGACGUCAUGUCAGAAUGAGUUGCUGGUUUCAUGGUGUGGUCAUGUACUCAGUUCGCAUGGGGAUCAAACUGAGCCCAUCAAACACAUUCCAUCUGUGAUUUAAUCAGAAACUGAAUUCAAGUCAGAGGUGAAAGGCUAGUGUAUUAACCCCCUGAGCUAGAUGGGCAUCUUGGUUAUCCUCAGUCUUAUAGCUACAUCUAUGUUGCAAAAGCAUGAUGCCAGGACUUAAACGAGUGGGCCCCAAAUUCCCUCUUUGUCUCUCUUCCUCCUGUGUAAUUAAUUGAGAUCCACCUUAAUAGGAUAAAACUAAAUACUGAAUAGCAUCCAAACGCACAGUGGCUGGCAGGAAAACAACAGCCAGACAUAGAAAGGGAGAAAGGCAGCUAAAUGGACAAAAGACCCAUUUAAGAGUGUUUAUUAGAGGUUCCUAAGCUAAUAACAUCAUUAUUACAAUGUCAACAUGGCUGUGAUGAGCUUGGUGUGUGCCAGGAGGGGCGAUCCUCUUAUAUGUUUUGACUAAUCAGCUGGGAUUUACAUGAUACACAAUAAAUCUUAUUGAU